GACGAACCGUGCAAACGUUGUUCGGAAUCACUGGGCUUAAAGGGCGCGUAGGCGGGCCGGCCAGUCAGGGGUGAAAGCCCACGGCUCAACCGUGGAAGUGCCUUUGAUACUGCCGGUCUUGAGGGAGGUAGGGGCGUGCGGAACUUCCGGUGGAGCGGUGAAAUGCGUAGAUAUCGGAAGGAACACCGGUGGCGAAGGCGCCGCUCUGGGCCGAAACUGACGCUGAGGAGCGAAAGCGUGGGGAGCGAACAGG
rnacentral:rRNA from 1 species